UGACCUUGAAAAGGUAGAAGAAAGGAUCUUCUUCAGCUCAGGAGGAGCUGAGGGAAAGUCAUGAGGAGUAGUUUGGGCUCCUGGACAGGGAGGUAGAGCCGACUGUGCCGAGAUUCUCUCUACCCUCCUACCCCAGUUUCCUCCACUCCAGCUUGGCUUUCAUCUGUCUGGAAAGAAAACUAGUCCAAGAUGAGGAAGCCAAGGCCCAGAGAGGAGAAAUGACUUGCCCAAGAGGAAGCACGGGGCUGGAAAGCAUCUCUCCUGACCCCGACUUCUGUGCACUGUCCAAUAGACCACACUGCCUUCAUCCCAAGAAGGAUCCUCCAGACGCCACUCCCUACAACAUACUAGGGCUCUGAAGGAAGUUUGCCCCAGCCUUCCUCCGUCCCAGCUGCUGCUGCUGCCCAGUCCUGGGACUUAGAAGCGGAGCCUGUGUCUGUAGGAUCCCAGGAGGGGAGAAAAAUGUUUCCGGGGAGAGGAAGGAGGUCCCAGAUCCCACCAACGACAUGUCCUAGGGUCAGCAGAGCUGUGCGAGUGGUUCCCUAUGAUGUCACCGUGUCACGUUGCAUAACCGGUGUCACACACUUGAUAUAUGCCUAACAGUUCAUGGGAUCCAUCAGUGGCCACCCUGGGGUGAGGGUUACCCUAUUACCCCAACUUGAAAUAUUCAUGGAAUUCUGCUGGGAGCCUGGAGGGACCAGGAAGUGCCAACAGCUUCGUUUUUCAGAGGCUUUUUCCUCAUUUAGCGUUAUAUUUGUGGAGCUGAAUUUUAAGCACAAAGCUGUGCUUACAGAGUCUGAGGCAAAUUGGAAUCUUGACUGGAAGGAUUGAGGGUGGUUAAUAUAAUUUGAAGACUCCUUGCAUGCCAAUGAAUGUUUGUGCACUUUCUGGUCCCCUUCUGCUUGUGAUAAAAUGCCAGGAAGGUU